rnacentral:rRNA from 1 species
UGGUGGAGUGAUUUGUCUGGUUAAUUCCGAUAACGAACGAGACUCCGUCCUGCUAACUAGUCGCCUCGUUGCUUUUCGUACUGCGAGGCGGAUUCUUCUUAGAGGGACUGGCGGCAUCUAGCCGCACGAGAUGGAGCAAUAACA